CUCGGUGUAUCCAGUCAUACACAGACUAAAAAAAAAGCCUUUUCUACAAUGAUUUGCACGUCAACUUUCACCCGUCAGUGCUUUUUGGAAAAUGGGAUUCUUCCCUGUGGAAAAAAAUAAACAGAAAAUACGAGGGUUUGCUGCACGCAGAACACGCCCCAACCUCCCAGGCGGCCCGGGCACCCUUCCCAUCCCUGUGGAGCCGCACCCCGUGCAGGGCAGGGAGACUUGUCCCAUUAAAAUGACUCUUGAAGUAGUGACUCUAAUAAUAAUAAUCUGUGAUUCCUUCCCGUUCUGUUGCAGGGCGUGCAGCAGUGUCCCCCUGCCAGCCUCUGGGCACCCUCAGGUCCCCGCUGUAAGAGGUGAAAUGUUGCCUGGACAGCCCUGAAGUUGGAGGUCCAAGGCAUCCAGCUUCGUUUGUCGCAGAGAAAACACUGCAGGCAAAAAGGAGGGUAAGAAUGAGGGCAGCGAGGCGGCAAGAGCUGGCAAAGCAAAUGCUGGCAGUGCAGGGCCAGCGGGCUGUGAACACUGGUCGCCUUCCAGGGGAAUUAUCAAGUGGUGCUGCAUGCCAUGGAAGUGUGCAGCAAUGGGCAGAAGGACUGUGCUGUUCUUGACUCCAAAAGUUUGACUCCACUUGUGGUACAAGAAAACAUUCCUGGAGUUGAGUUUGGGGCAUUAAAACAGGCGUGGGGGGAAGAGUUACUUUCUUUGUCCACCUCCCUUUUGCAGCCACUUCCCUGUGCAAUCUUGGGAAAAUCUUGUCUGCCUCGGUUUCGCCCUCUAUAAAAUGGGAAUAAGUCAUGACAGACCCCUCCUUUUAGAUGCCUGGAUCAAAGGUACUAUAUAAGUACAAAGUGCUCCUUCUAUAGGGUAUUAUUGCCAAAUUCGCUAUAAGCAAUUCCAUUGGGUACUUGAUAACAACAGUAGAAUCAGUCAAACGCCCUUGAUGCAUUCAUCGCAUGGUCCCAGAUACCUUUCAGAGCCUCUUUGUGUGCCAUCCUACCCCCUGAGGUCCACGAGGAUGGGGCUUUUGGAGCCUGGAUUCUGCAGGAGCAGGAGGGGUAUGCUGCGUUAUGCUGUAGAAAUCGCAGGGUCUUCUCUAUGCAGGUGAAAAUGGGUGAGAAGGAGUACAACUGUUGGAUUUGUGGCAGGAAUUUUCAAACGAAUGAAAGCGUAAGGAUGAAAACAGAAGAAAAGUGUUCAGCAUGGACACAGUUAAAUCUCCAUUUUAGAAGGCAGAGAAGUUCCUGGCAUCAAAGUUUCUUCUUCAGAUUGAUUCACUGGAUUGGAUUGCCUUUCCUCAUGUAAUCAGACUGAUACACAUCCUGAGUUCCUACGCAAAGGCAUUAUAUGAAGAUGGAAAGAUGUAAAUUCACUUGAAGGAGACGACCAAAUUAACAGUGCAUCAGCAAGCAAACCACACCGUGACUGCUUACAAUCUCCCUGCACACAUCGCCCGUUAAGGAACAUUCAGCAGCAUUAAUAAUCAAAUGUUAACUGAAAAAGCUAGACAAGCUAUUGGAUAUUUGGCAUGGCCAAUUGAUGUUCGUUCUGCUCAAGCGUUUGUGAAAUAAACAUUUAUCCUCUGGUG
ensembl:lncRNA